CUUCAGCGAACCCAGCCACAGCGGGUCGCCCACCCGUUCACUGCCGUAGGUGGCCAUCAGCGCGCCGGCCUC
rnacentral:antisense_RNA from 1 species